UACAGAGGGUGCAAGCGUUAAUCGGAGUUACUGGGCGUAAAGGGCGCGUAGGCGGUAUGACAAGUGAGAUGUGAAAUCCCUGGGCUUAACCUAGGAAUUGCAUUUUAAACUGUGAUGCUAGAGUACAGUAGAGGGUAGUGGAAUUUCCGGUGUAGCGGUGAAAUGCGUAGAGAUCGGAAGGAACACCAGUGGCGAAGGCGACUACCUGGACUGACACUGACGCUGAGGCGCGAAAGCGUGGGGAGCAAACAGG
rnacentral:rRNA from 1 species